rnacentral:rRNA from 1 species
AUGUUGCCUCUGCUUUUUAUUCUUGCCAUGGAGCCCCUGCAACGGAUGCUUUCGAUGGCCACAGAGAGGGCGGUGCUUACACCUUUGAGAAUCAGGGCUGCUCGUUUGCGAUCCAGUUUCUACGCCGAUGAUGCAGCUUUGUUCAUCAACCCGGUUGCCCAAGAUUUUGCUGCUGUUCAUGCCAUCCUAAAAGUCUUUGGGGACGCUUCUGGGCUGCGGGCCAACAUCGGCAAGACCGUGGCAUAUCCUAUCUCCUGCGCUGAAAUUAAUGUUGAGAAUAUAUUGCAUGAUUUUGGUGGGAUACUGGGCUCUCUCCCAUGUCAAUAUUUGGGAUUACCACUUGGGUUUCGUAAACCGCGGAGGGCAGAGCUUCAACCGGUCCUCGACAAAGUUGCGGGGAAGCUUGCUCCUAGGAAGGGAAGGUUAUUAAACAGGAUGGGAAGGCUGGUGUACAUCAAUUCUGUGGUUACGGCAACCGCCACUUUCUUCUUGACGGUCUUCCCGCCUGACAAGUGGCUCACCAAAAAGGUGGACAAGCUGAGGAGAAAUUUCCUAUGGUGUGCGGAGGAUGAAUCAGUAGGGAGGAAAAGCCUUGUAAAUUAG